AUGCCUAACACAUGCAAGUCGAACGAAGGCUUCGGCCUUAGUGGCGCACGGGUGCGUAACGCGUGGGAAUCUGCCCUUAGGUUCGGAAUAACAGUUGGAAACGACUGCUAAUACCGGAUGAUGACGUAAGUCCAAAGAUUUAUCGCCUGAGGAUGAGCCCGCGUAGGAUUAGCUAGUUGGUGUGGUAAGAGCGCACCAAGGCGACGAUCCUUAGCUGGUCUGAGAGGAUGAUCAGCCACACUGGGACUGAGACACGGCCCAGACUCCUACGGGAGGCAGCA
rnacentral:rRNA from 1 species